AAUGCACCAAUUUGUAAGUCGCUCUGGAUAAGAGCAUCUGCUAAAUUACUAAAA
rfam:Salmo salar isolate Sally breed double haploid chromosome ssa20, whole genome shotgun sequence.